rnacentral:rRNA from 10 species
UCCGUAGGUGAACCAGCGGAGGGAUCAUUA